GUCUACGGCCAUGCCACCCUGAACAAGCCCAAUCCCAUCUGAUCUCAGGAAGCUAAGCAGGGUCGGGCCUGGUUAGUACUUGGGUGGUAGACCACCUAGGAAGACCAAGCAAGUGCUGUAGGCG
rnacentral:rRNA from 1 species